rnacentral:tRNA from 1 species
ACACUGGUGGCAUAGUGGUUAAGUGCUUUGGCUGCUAACCAAAACGUCAGCAGUUCGAAUCCACCAGUGGC